rnacentral:lncRNA from 1 species
AUUUGAUCAUUUAUUUUUUUAAAAUUUUGAUUUACUGUCUAACAUUUCAAUUUGUGUAAUUUCGGUCACUCAACAGUACUUUAAUUUCAAAAUUUGAAUGCGUCGUUUAUCAUUACAGCUUUAGUUAAUAUAUUUUAUACAAUUUUUGUAAUUAAAGUUAAAGUACUGUUGAGUGUCUAAAGUUAAACAAAUUGAAAGAUUGAAUAGUAAAAUAAAAUUUUAAAAGAUUAAAUAGUUAAAUUCAAAUUGCCUAUAUGAGAUUAGUUUU